AGUGAACGCUGGCGGUAGGCCUAACACAUGCAAGUCGAACGGCAGCACAGUAAGAGCUUGCUCUUACGGGUGGCGAGUGGCGGACGGGUGAGGAAUACAUCGGAAUCUACUUUUUCGUGGGGGAUAACGUAGGGAAACUUACGCUAAUACCGCAUACGACCUACGGGUGAAAGCAGGGGAUCUUCGGACCUUGCGCGAUUGAAUGAGCCGAUGUCGGAUUAGCUAGUUGGCGGGGUAAAGGCCCACCAAGGCGACGAUCCGUAGCUGGCCUGAGAGGAUGAUCAGCCACACUGGAACUGAGACACGGUCCAGACUCCUACGGGAGGCAGCAGUGGGGAAUAUUCGACAAUGGGCGCAAGCCUGAUCCAGCCAUACCGCGUGGGUGAAGAAGGCCUUCGGGUUGUAAAGCCCUUUUGUUGGGAAAGAAAAGCAGCAGGUUAAUACCCCGCUGUUCUGACGGUACCCAAAGAAUAAGCACCGGCUAACUUCGUG
rnacentral:rRNA from 1 species